UGGGGAAUUUUGGACAAUGGGGGAAACCCUGAUCCAGCCAUCCCGCGUGUGCGAUGAAGGCCUUCGGGUUGUAAAGCACUUUUGGCAGGAAAGAAACGUCGCGGGUUAAUACCCCGCGGAACUGACGGUACCUGCAGAAUAAGCACCGGCUAACUACGUGCCAGCAGCCGCGGUAAUACGUAGGGUGCAAGCGUUAAUCGGAAUUACUGGGCGUAAAGCGUGCGCAGGCGGUUCGGAAAGAAAGAUGUGAAAUCCCAGAGCUUAACUUUGGAACUGCAUUUUUAACUACCGGGCUAGAGUGUGUCAGAGGGAGGUGGAAUUCCGCGUGUAGCAGUGAAAUGCGUAGAUAUGCGGAGGAACACCGAUGGCGAAGGCAGCCUCCUGGGAUAACACUGACGCUCAUGCACGAAAGCGUGGGGAGCAAACAGGAUUAGAUACCCUGGUGGUCCACGCCCUAAACGAUGUCAACUAGCUGUUGGGGUCUUCGGACCUUGGUAGCGCAGCUAACGCGUGAAGUUGACCGCCUGGGGAGUACGGUCGCAAGAUUAAAAACUC
rnacentral:rRNA from 1 species